rnacentral:tRNA from 1 species
GGCCUGGUGGCAGAUUGGUUAUGCACCGGACUGCAAAUCCGUUUAGAUGGGUUCGAUUCCCGUCCAGGCCUCCA